AAAUUAUUUUUUACAUUAUUUUUUAUUGUUGAAAAAAUUACCCCCUGCUUUUUUUACGCUUGGGGCUUCUUUUUCUCCCACAAAUUUUUGAAAAAUGACCAAACUCCGGAU
rnacentral:rRNA from 1 species